GCAAGCAUGAUGUAGUGGUUUGAACAUUGGACUAGGACUCUAGAGACCAGGGUUCGAUUCCCAGCUCAGCCA